GACGAACGCUGGCGGCGUGCCUAAUACAUGCAAGUUGAGCGCUGAAAGUUGGUACUUGUACCAACUGGAUGAGCAGCGAACGGGUGAGUAACGCGUGGGGAAUCUGCCUUUGAGCGGGGGACAACAUUUGGAAGCGAAUGCUAAUACCGCAUAAAAACUUUAAACACAAGUUUUAAGUUUGAAAGAUGCAAUUGCAUCACUCAAAGAUGAUCCCGCGUUGUAUUAGCUAGUUGGUGAGGUAAAGGCUCACCAAGGCGAUGAUACAUAGCCGACCUGAGAGGGUGAUCGGCCACAUUGGGACUGAGACACGGCCCAAACUCCUACGGGAGGCAGCAGUAGGGAAUCUUCGGCAAUGGACGAAAGUCUGACCGAGCAACGCCGCGUGAGUGAAGAAGGUUUUCGGAUCGUAAAACUCUGUUGGUAGAGAAGAACGUUGGUGAGAGUGGAAAGCUCAUCAAGUGACGGUAACUACCCAGAAAGGGACGGCUAACUACGUG
rnacentral:rRNA from 1 species